rnacentral:rRNA from 1 species
GACGUAGGGCGCGAGCGUUGUCCGGAUUUAUUGGGCGUAAAGAGCUCGUAGGCGGCUUGUCGCGUCGACUGUGAAAACUCGGGGCUCAACUCCGAGCUUGCAGUCGAUACGGGCAGGCUAGAGUUCGGUAGGGGAGACUGGAAUUCCUGGUGUAGCGGUGGAAUGCGCAGAUAUCAGGAGGAACACCAAUAGCGAAGGCAGCUCGCUGGGACGGUACUGACGCUAAGGCGCGAAAGCGUGGGGAGCGAACAGG